rnacentral:snoRNA from 1 species
GUACCGUAUGAUGAUUUUUGGAUUAAAAUUCUCACGAUGGUCAUCUGAGGUACUUUUGUGUGCCUAACUGAUGAAACAUCCGAAUUUCCUGAUGGUC